GUAUAUGCGCUCACACGAAUCUCACGAAGAAUUGAUCAAUCGUGAACUACAAAGAAAGAAGAACCGAUGGAAGAACGCAGCGCCAGCCUCCAUCGAUUCAAGAAUUGGAAGCCUCGAACACACUCUGCCAAAGGACAGAAAAUCAAUCAAUUGAGCGGAUUUAUCAUACUCCAAGCAGGAACAUCAGAACUUGAAAUUGGGCACAAUUUUCAAUUACACAAGGAAGACGCACAGAAAAGGAUAUGGGCGUUGGCAUCCAGGAUCACUCGAUCGAAAAUCCAUACCAAUAACUCGGACUCGAUUCCGGACGGAGGAAGGUCUAAGCGGCGGCCGCUCGUCCACUCUCCUCCUCCCUUUUCCCCCUGGAUGCGAUGGUUGAGGCCGCACCCGCAGCCUCCAUCGGCACGGCCGUCUACAGCGGCGACAACCACAUCCCGGCAGCAACGCUCCUCCCUCCGGAGGAGCACCACGGCCCGCCACGCAGCCCGGCAACAGAGACGGCCAACGCGCAUGCGGAGCGCAGUUCUCUCCGCCACACCUUGGCACGGCGGCGGCCUUCGGCUCCGACGCCGCUUCUCCUGAUGCGGCGCGAUGGCGCGGCGGCCAACAUUCGUCCCACGGCGUGGAGAUGCUGCCCAGGCGCAGACGACCUUCGAUUGGCGACGCCAUCUUCCCUCCUAAUUCCUCGCGAGGAGAUGUGCUAUGACUCUGUACAGCCAAAGCUAACUCAAUCGAUGGAUUCUUGGCCGUAGCGAGAAUCACCGGAGAACCUUAUCUCUUCGGCCAUUUAACAAUUUGCAUUUUUUAUUGCCAAAUAAGGACAUCAGCUUUAGUACUACUUGCAUAGAAGCCCUCAGGCUAAUUGUGAUCGUAUCACUCAGACUCUCUGGUCUUCAUAUUGUGCAUCAUAUUUUAAAAAAUGAAUUCUACAUGUAUUAUGAGCA